GAUGAACGCUGGCGGCGUGCCUAAUACAUGCAAGUCGAGCGAACAGAUGAGGAGCUUGCUCCUCUGACGUUAGCGGCGGACGGGUGAGUAACACGUGGAUAACCUACCUAUAAGACUGGGAUAACUUCGGGAAACCGGAGCUAAUACCGGAUAAUAUAUUGAACCGCAUGGUUCAAUAGUGAAAGACGGUUUUACUGUCACUUAUAGAUGGAUCCGCGCCGCAUUAGCUAGUUGGUAAGGUAACGGCUUACCAAGGCAACGAUGCGUAGCCGACCUGAGAGGGUGAUCGGCCACACUGGAACUGAGACACGGUCCAGACUCCUACGGGAGGCAGCAGUAGGGAAUCUUCCGCAAUGGGCGAAAGCCUGACGGAGCAACGCCGCGUGAGUGAUGAAGGUCUUCGGAUCGUAAAACUCUGUUAUUAGGGAAGAACAAAUGUGUAAGUAACUAUGCACGUCUUGACGGUACCUAAUCAGAAAGCCACGGCUAACUACGU
rnacentral:rRNA from 1 species